rnacentral:rRNA from 1 species
UUACACAUGCAGUCGAACGGAAAGGCCGAAGCUUGCUUCGGUACUCGAGUGGCGAACGGGUGAGUAACACGUGGGUGAUCUGCCCUGUACUUCGGGAUAAGCUUGGGAAACUGGGUCUAAUACCGGAUAUGACGAUCUCUUGGAUGGGGUUGUGGAAAGCUUUUGCGGUAUGGGAUGAGCUCGCGGCCUAUCAGCUUGUUGGUGGGGUAAUGGCCUACCAAGGCGUCGACGGGUAGCCGGCCUGAGAGGGUGUACGGCCACAUUGGGACUGAGAUACGGCCCAGACUCCUACGGGAGGCAGCAGUGGGGAAUAUUGCACAAUGGGCGCAAGCCUGAUGCAGCGACGCCGCGUGGGGGAUGACGGCCUUCGGGUUGUAAACUCCUUUCGCAAUCGACGAAGCCUUUGUGGUGACGGUAGGUUGAGAAGAAGCACCGGCUAACUACGUGCCAGCAGCCGCGGUAAU